rnacentral:rRNA from 1 species
AACUUUCAACAACGGAUCUCUUGGUUCUGGCAUCGAUGAAGAACGCAGCGAAAUGCGAUACGUAGUGUGAAUUGCACAAUUCAGUGAAUCAUCGAAUCUUUGAACGCACAUUGCGCCCUUUGGUAUUCCAAAGGGCAUGCCUG